rnacentral:lncRNA from 1 species
GACACAUAUCUACGACUCUCGUGAUCUCACAGAUACAUGUGCUGGGGAGAUGUGCUGAAUACGCAGCUGUGGUUUACCUUUAAAUGGAGAGAUACUUCUGUCUCCUCCUCUCCAUCCCCCAUUGUUCUCCAUUCCUAUUUUGGAAGCAAAGUAGGGGAAAGGUUUGGGGACCUCAAGGUUUAGUAUAUAAGCUUUUAUUUUACCUUUGUAUGUCCACAUGGUGCCUUGUGCCCCUCAAUC